rnacentral:lncRNA from 1 species
UGCGCUGCACCCUCGUCCAUUCCCAAAUCCUUUGUCUGACCAAAUGAUUCUCUAACCUCUUCUCCCUCUCCACGAUACUUCUUGCUCUUCUCUUCUCAAAUUCUUUUUCUAUUCUUAAAGUGCUGCUCAUGUUAUUCUCGAUUUCAUGUCAGUUGUAUUAUCUUCUAUUUCAUGCAAUUCGUGUCGUUCUCCCAUUUGCCAUUCUUCGUUCAUUGUUGAUCUUGUUGGCUCUUAAGCAGUGCAAGCCGUUUGUUGUGAAUUGUGGGUGCUCUCAAUUAUUUAGAUUUUAGGAUAUGCAAUUUUGUUCUAGUCAUAUUUGGGUGUGUAAUUUUUUCAUCUGUAUAUUUUAAUUUUUUUUUAUUAUUCAGCUUUAAAUUUUUAUUGUUGAUUUGUUUGAUUUCAAUGGAA